rnacentral:rRNA from 1 species
GACGAACGCUGGCGGCGUGCUUAACACAUGCAAGUCGAACGGAAAGACCCUGCUUUUGUGGGGUGCUCGAGUGGCGAACGGGUGAGUAACACGUGAGUAACCUGCCCUUGACUUUGGGAUAACUUCAGGAAACUGGGGCUAAUACCGGAUAGGAGCUCCUGCUGCAUGGUGGGGGUUGGAAAGUUUCGGCGGUUGGGGAUGGACUCGCGGCUUAUCAGCUUGUUGGUGGGGUAGUGGCUUACCAAGGCUUUGACGGGUAGCCGGCCUGAGAGGGUGACCGGGCAAAUUGGGACUGAGGUACGGCCCAGACUCCUACGGGAGGCAGCAGUGGGGAAUAUUGCAAAAUGGGCGGAAGCCUGAUGCAGCAACGCCGCGUGCGGGAUGACGGCCUUCGGGUUGUAAACCGCUUUCGCCUGUGACGAAGCGUGAGUGACGGUAAUGGGUAAAGAAGCACCGGCUAACUACGUG